GUAGGAUAAGUGGGAGCU
rnacentral:snRNA from 1 species